rnacentral:lncRNA from 1 species
CCGCCACUGAUUUCUGCCCUUAUUCAAGGAUCCUUUAACUUAGUUUUCAAGUGCCAGUUUAAAUCUUCUACCUUUUCAUCAUAGGCGACACAUUACUAGAUUAUAACUGAUUGAUUGAUUGUUGAUUGCUUUACGCCACAUCAGCACAAAAAGACUAUAUCGCGGUGAAAGCUAUUCUAGAUAUUACAACAAGACGUUUAUUUUAUUUUUAAAAAAAUGGAUAUACAAUUUACCAAAAGUUUU